CUCGUAGGCGGUUCAGCAAGUCGGCUGUGAAAUUCCGAGGCUCAACCUCGGAACUGCAGUCGAUACUGUUGUGACUCGAGUCCGGUAGAGGAGAAUGGAAUUCCCGGUGUAGCGGUGAAAUGCGCAGAUAUCGGGAGGAACACCAGUAGCGAAGGCGGUUCUCUGGGCCGGUACUGACGCUGAGGAGCGAAAGCGUGGGGAGCAAACAGGAUUAGAUACCCUGGUAGUCCACGCUGUAAACGUUGGACACUAGGUGUGGCGGUCUGAUCAACGACUGCCGUGCCGAAGCUAACGCAUUAAGUGUCCCGCCUGGGGAGUACGGCCGCAAGGCUAAA
rnacentral:rRNA from 1 species